rnacentral:rRNA from 1 species
AUUGAACGCUGGCGGCAUGCCUUACACAUGCAAGUCGAACGGCAGCACGGGUGCUUGCACCUGGUGGCGAGUGGCGAACGGGUGAGUAAUACAUCGGAACAUGUCCUGUAGUGGGGGAUAGCCCGGCGAAAGCCGGAUUAAUACCGCAUACGAUCCACGGAUGAAAGCGGGGGACCUUCGGGCCUCGCGCUAUAGGGUUGGCCGAUGGCUGAUUAGCUAGUUGGUGGGGUAAAGGCCUACCAAGGCGACGAUCAGUAGCUGGUCUGAGAGGACGACCAGCCACACUGGGACUGAGACACGGCCCAGACUCCUACGGGAGGCAGCAGUGGGGAAUUUUGGACAAUGGGCGAAAGCCUGAUCCAGCAAUGCCGCGUGUGUGAAGGAGGACUUCGGGUUGUAAAGCACUUUUGUCCGGAAAGAAAUCCUUGACUCUAAUACAGUCGGGGGAUGACGGUACCGGAAGAAUAAGCACCGGCUAACUACGU